UACGAAGGGGGCUAGCGUUGCUCGGAAUUACUGGGCGUAAAGAGUGCGUAGGCGGUUCUUGAAGUCCGCUGUGAAAGCCCCGGGCUUAACCUGGGAAUGGCAGUGGAAACUGGGGGACUUGAAUUGAGCAGAGGGGGGUGGAAUGCCGCGUGUAGCAGUGAAAUGCGUAGAGAUGCGGCGGAACACCGAUGGCGAAGGCAGCCCCCUGGGCUUAAAUUGACGCUGAGGCACGAAAGCGUGGGGAGCAAACAGG
rnacentral:rRNA from 1 species